CACGUAGGAGGCAAGCGUUAUCCGGAUUUACUGGGCGUAAAGCGCGUGCAGGCGGUUCAGAAAGUUGGAUGUGAAAGCUCCUGGCUUAACUGGGAGAGGUCGUUCAAUACUUCUGGACUAGAGUAUGGGAGAGGGAGGUGGAAUUCCGGGUGUAGUGGUGAAAUGCGUAGAUAUCCGGAGGAACACCAGUGGCGAAAACGGCCUCCUGGCCCAAAACUGACGCUCAGACGCGAAAGCUAGGGUAGCAAACGGG
rnacentral:rRNA from 1 species